rnacentral:rRNA from 1 species
AACAACGAAGGGCGCGCGGUGGAUGCCUAGGCUCUCGGAGGCGAUGAAGGACGCGAUAAGCCGCGAUAGGCCACGGCGAGGUGCAAGUAACCCUUGACCCGUGGAU